GGAGGGGUGCAAGCGGUUGUUCGGAAUUAUUGGGCGUAAAGAGCGUGUAGGGCGGUUCGGUAAGUCAGAUGUGAAAGCCCUGGGCUCAACCCAGGAAGUGCAUUUGAAACUACCAGACUUGAGUACGGGAGAGGAGGGGGGAAUUCCCGGUGUAGAGGUGAAAUUCGUAGAUAUCGGGAGGAAUACCAGUGGCGAAGGCGCCCCUCUGGACCGAUACUGACGCUGAGACGCGAAAGCGUGGGGAGCAAACAGGAUUAGAUACCCUGGUAGUCCACGCCGUAAACGAUGAGCACUAGGUGUAGCGGGUAUUGACCCCUGCUGUGCCGUAGCUAACGCAUUAAGUGCUCCGCCUGGGGACUACGGUCGCAAGACUA
rnacentral:rRNA from 1 species